rnacentral:rRNA from 1 species
AUUGAACGCUGGCGGCAUGCCUUACACAUGCAAGUCGAACGGCAGCACGGGAGCAAUCCUGGUGGCGAGUGGCGAACGGGUGAGUAAAGUAUCGGAACGUGCCCAGUCGUGGGGGAUAACGUAGCGAAAGUUACGCUAAUACCGCAUACGAUCUAUGGAUGAAAGCGGGGGAUCGCAAGACCUCGCGCGAUUGGAGCGGCCGAUAUCAGAUUAGGGAGUUGGUGGGGUAAAGGCUCACCAAGCCGACGAUCUGUAGAUGGUCUGAGAGGACGACCAGCCACACUGGGACUGAGACACGGCCCAGACUCCUACGGGAGGCAGCAGUGGGGAAUUUUGGACAAUGGGCGAAAGCCUGAUCCAGCCAUGCCGCGUGCAGGAUGAAGGCCUUCGGGUUGUAAACUGCUUUUGUACGGAACGAAAAGGUUUGGGCUAAUAAGCUGAGCUCAUGACGGUACCGUAAGAAUAAGCACCGGCUAACUACGUGCCAGCCGCCGCAGUAA